AGGCACAUUCCACCGAAUUCGAGCCAUCAGGUGCUGUCAAAGAGCUCUACGCAUACGCUGCAAAGUACAGAGAGCAGGUUCUCAUGGGGCUUCAAGGUGACUUACACUGCCGGAAGCUACAUCCGUCGCACAAUCUGCUAAACAUGGCGCGCACUCUCGAGGGCGAACAGACUUCACUGUGUUGAUAGCGAUCGAUGCCUGCUCUAUGCAACGAAUGCAUGUGGAAUACCACGAAGCAGCUUUGGCAGGGAGCCAGCUACAACUACAGAGUCUUGCGUGUGUCGGGACGCAUCAGCACUGUGCGUGCGCGUGUGUGGAUAUGUGCAUCCAUGAUGUCGCUUCGGUGUGUGUGUGCCCAAAGUUUUCUUCACAUUUAUUUAUGAGCUGCAAGAAGAAGAUGGAGAGAGAGAGACUGUUUUUUCCUAGAGCACACGAGAGGACUCUCCAACACUCGAUGUCAUCAUCUUUUGAGCCACAAGAAGAAUAAGAGAACCGACCGACCAAACACACAGGGACAUAAUUCACACUUCAAACGUACACAAAACAUUUUCAGUUUUCGGAAGCAGGGUGGUCUUUGGUGCUGUGCAGCACGCCUCAUCAUCUGCAAGCGCCCUUUUAUUUAUAACAAUGUACUUGUGCCUCUGUGAAGAGAAGAAAGGUACCACGGACCACUGAACAUUAGCUACCAUGUGGUGUUGUCGGCUGACCAAUAGGAGCCGGCCAAUCGGUGCGGAGAACGACGACCAUGUCGGGGAGCGCGAAAUAACCAAGGCGACGUGCACGCCUUGCACGCACUGUACUUGUCGAAGCUAUUUUUCGUCACUCCAUUCACAAUUGAGAGAGGUGCAGGCUGCUCGCAGUUGUUGUUCAUCACAUUUGUUUUCAUGUACAUUUUGUAUACUAGUAGCGCCAUUUUUUGAAUAGUUUGUUUGUGUGGGGACAAGCACCAGCCAUGAGGAGAGCACACUUGAUCGUUGUUUGAGAUUGCCAGCAUUGCCCAUUCUUGCAUCAAUGCUCAUAGUCAUUGGCGUGUUGAUGCAUUGAGGACAGCCUGCACCAUUUCUAAGUGUCACACAACUCGACAGACUCAUAUUUACUUAGCACUUUUCUAAAAAAGACACAGUUGCAAAUGUGUUUAAACAUAUAUGCUGUACCUGUUAAUGGCAUUACACAUUAGAAGCCAACAACUGUGACUUCUUAUACCUAUGGAGUUCCGUUCGUUAGCAUUUCGUUAUGUAAUUCAUGUCCGUGAUCAGACUGCAGACUACCACAAUGAUUGGGUUUUGUAGUGCAGAAAUUAUUCAUUGAAUUGAAAUUGAAAAACUAGAUAUCAGCUGUCUACUUAAAUGUUACUUCCACUAUGGUCAACACUAAAGUUACCUUUUAUACUUUUUUUUUGCUGGGAAUUCUCCGUGUAAAUAAAUGGGCCGCAGUGGUUGAAUA